rnacentral:snoRNA from 1 species
UCAAUCUACCAUAGAUGCAAGAAAAAAGAAGGUCCUUGCACUUUCUGUCUGCCUGGUUGUGGCAGCCAAGAUUGAAUGGGGGAAUACAGGA